rnacentral:rRNA from 1 species
CUUCUCACAGGAGAUUUCAACGUCAUUUACGAGGCUAGGGAUAAGAACAACCUUAAUCUGAACCGGCGCGUUAUGGGUAGAUUUAGAGAUGCCAUCGAUGCGGUCGGCUUGCGGGAGAUCAAGUGUAGAAAUAGAUGCUUCACUUGGAGCAACGAGCGGCAAAACCCCACCCUAGUUAGCAUAGAUAAA